rnacentral:rRNA from 1 species
UACAUAGGUCGCAAGCGUUGUUCGGAUUCAUUGGGCGUAAAGGGUGUGUAGGUGGCGCCGUAAGUCGGGUGUGAAAUUUCGGAGCUUAACUCCGAAACUGCAUUCGAUACUGCGGUGCUUGAGGACUGGAGAGGAGACUGGAAUUCAUGGUGUAGCAGUGAAAUGCGUAGAGAUCAUGAGGAAGACCAGUGGCGAAGGCGGGUCUCUGGACAGUUCCUGACACUGAGACACGAAGGCCAGGGGAGCAAACGGG